rnacentral:piRNA from 1 species
UAUGUUAAGAAGUUUUAUAUU